GAUGAACGCUGGCGGCGUGCCUAAUACAUGCAAGUCGAGCGAACAGAUGAGGAGCUUGCUCCUCUGACGUUAGCGGCGGACGGGUGAGUAACACGUGGAUAACCUACCUAUAAGACUGGGAUAACUUCGGGAAACCGGAGCUAAUACCGGAUAAUAUAUUGAACCGCAUGGUUCAAUAGUGAAAGACGGUUUUGCUGUCACUUAUAGAUGGAUCCGCGCCGCAUUAGCUAGUUGGUAAGGUAACGGCUUACCAAGGCAACGAUGCGUAGCCGACCUGAGAGGGUGAUCGGCCACACUGGAACUGAGACACGGUCCAGACUCCUACGGGAGGCCGCAGUAGGGAAUCUUCCGCAAUGGGCGAAAGCCUGACGGAGCAACGCCGCGUGAGUGAUGAAGGUCUUCGGAUCGUAAAACUCUGUUAUUAGGGGAGAACAAAUGUGUAAGUAACUAUGCACGUCUUGACGGUACCUAAUCAGAAAGCCCCGGCUAACUACGUG
rnacentral:rRNA from 1 species